CUCGGAAUCACUGGGCGUAAAGCGCGCGCAGGCGGCCUUUUAAGUUGGAUGUGAAAGCCUAUGGCUCAACCAUAGAACUGCAUCCAAAACUAUCAGGCUAGAGUGUGGGAGAGGAAGAUGGAAUUAGUUGUGUAGGGGUAAAAUCCGUAGAGAUAACUAGGAAUACCAAAAGCGAAGGCAAUCUUCUGGAACAUUACUGACGCUGAGGCGCGAAAGCGUGGGGAGCAAACAGGAUUAGAUACCCUGGUAGUCCACGCCCUAAACGAUGAAUGUUAGUCGUCGGGUAGCUAGUCUAUUCGGUGAUGCAGCUAACGCAUUAAACAUUCCGCCUGGGGAGUACGGUCGCAAGA
rnacentral:rRNA from 1 species